AUUGAACGCUGGCGGCAGGCCUAACACAUGCAAGUCGAGCGGAUGAAGGGAGCUUGCUCCUGGAUUCAGCGGCGGACGGGUGAGUAAUGCCUAGGAAUCUGCCUGGUAGUGGGGGAUAACGUCCGGAAACGGGCGCUAAUACCGCAUACGUCCUGAGGGAGAAAGUGGGGGAUCUUCGGACCUCACGCUAUCAGAUGAGCCUAGGUCGGAUUAGCUAGUUGGUGGGGUAAAGGCCUACCAAGGCGACGAUCCGUAACUGGUCUGAGAGGAUGAUCAGUCACACUGGAACUGAGACACGGUCCAGACUCCUACGGGAGGCAGCAGUGGGGAAUAUUGGACAAUGGGCGAAAGCCUGAUCCAGCCAUGCCGCGUGUGUGAAGAAGGUCUUCGGAUUAUAAAGCACUUUAAGUUGGGAGGAAGGGCAGUAAGUUAAUACCUUGCUGUUCUGACGUUACCAACAGAAUAAGCACCGGCUAACUUCGUG
rnacentral:rRNA from 1 species